UACGUAGGGUGCGAGCGUUAAUCGGAAUUACUGGGCGUAAAGCGUGCGCAGGCGGUUUUGUAAGCCAGAUGUGAAAUCCCCCGGGCUUAACCUGGGAAUGGCAUUUGGGACUGCAAGGCUGGAGUGCGGCAGAGGAGACGUGAAUUCCUGGUGUAGCAGUGAAAUGCGUAGAUAUCAGGAGGAAUACCGAUGGCGAAGGCAGGUCUCUGGGCUGACACUGACGCUCAUGCACGAAAGCGUGGGGAGCAAACAGG
rnacentral:rRNA from 1 species